GUCAGGAUGGCCGAGUGGUCUAAGGCGCCAGACUCAAGGGUCUAAAUCCUUAUCUAAAAAGAGAAUUCUGGUCUCCAAAUGGAGGCGUGGGUUCAAAUCUCACUCCUGACA
rnacentral:tRNA from 1 species